UGGGGAAUAUUGCACAAUGGGCGCAAGCCUGAUGCAGCCAUGCCGCGUGUGUGAAGAAGGCCUUCGGGUUGUAAAGCACUUUCAGCGAGGAGGAAGGUGGUGAACUUAAUACGUUCAUCAAUUGACGUUACUCGCAGAAGAAGCACCGGCUAACUCCGUGCCAGCAGCCGCGGUAAUACGGAGGGUGCAAGCGUUAAUCGGAAUUACUGGGCGUAAAGCGCACGCAGGCGGUUUGUUAAGUCAGAUGUGAAAUCCCCGGGCUCAACCUGGGAACUGCAUUUGAAACUGGCAAGCUAGAGUCUCGUGGAGGGGGGUAGAAUUCCAGGUGUAGCGGUGAAAUGCGUAGAGAUCUGGAGGAAUACCGGUGGCGAAGGCGGCCCCCUGGACGAAGACUGACGCUCAGGUGCGAAAGCGUGGGGAGCAAAACAGGAUUAGAUACCCUGGUAGUCCACGCUGUAAAACGAUGUCGAUUUUGGAGGUUGUGCCCUUGAGGCGUGGCUUCCGGAGCUAACGCGUUAAAUCGACCGCCU
rnacentral:rRNA from 1 species